GAAUUUUGCCCAAUGGACGAAAGUCUGAGGCAGCAACUCCGCGUGAGGGAUGAAGGCUCUCGGGUCGUAAACCUCUUUUCUCAGGGAAGAUACAAGACGGUACCUGAGGAAUAAGCCACGGCUAACUACGUGCCAGCAGCCGCGGUAAUACGUAGGUGGCAAGCGUUGUCCGGAAUUACUGGGCGUAAAGAGCGCGCAGGCGGCUGGUCAAGUCCGAUGUGAAAGCUCCCGGCUUAACUGGGAAAUUGCAUCGGAAACUGAUCGGCUUGAAGGUGGGAGAGGGUAGCGGAAUUCCCGGUGUAGUGGUGAAAUGCGUAGAUAUCGGGAGGAACACCAGUGGCGAAGGCGGCUACCUGGCCCAUUCUUGACGCUGAGGCGCGAAAGCUAGGGGAGCGAA
rnacentral:rRNA from 1 species